rnacentral:rRNA from 1 species
AUUGAACGCUGGCGGCAUGCCUUACACAUGCAAGUCGAACGGUAACAGGUCUUCGGAUGCUGACGAGUGGCGAACGGGUGAGUAAUACAUCGGAACGUGCCUAGUAGUGGGGGAUAACUAAUCGAAAGAGUGGCUAAUACCGCAUGAGAUCUCCGGAUGAAAGCAGGGGAUCGCAAGACCUUGUGCUACUAGAGCGGCCGAUGGCAGAUUAGGUAGUUGGUGGGAUAAAAGCUUACCAAGCCGACGAUCUGUAGCUGGUCUAAGAGCACGAUCAGCCACACUAGGAACGGGACCAGGGCCAGACUGCGACGGGAAGCGUCAGUGGGGAAUUAAGGACAAGGGGAGCAAGCCUGAUCCAGCAAUGCCGCUUGCAGGAUGAAGGCCUUCGGGUUGUAAACUGCUUUUGUACGGAACGAAAAGCCCCGGGUUAAUACCCUGGGGUCAUGACGGUACCGUAAGAAUAAGCACCGGCUAACUACGAGCCAGCCGCCGCCGUAA